rnacentral:rRNA from 1 species
CCUACGGGAGGCAGCAGUGGGGAAUAUUGCGCAAUGGGCGAAAGCCUGACGCAGCGACGCCGCGUGAGGGAUGAAGGUCUUCGGAUCGUAAACCUCUGUCAGCAGGGAAGAACGGUCACUGUGCUAAUCAGCAGUGAAUUGACGGUACCUGCAAAGGAAGCACAGGCUAACUCCGUGCCAGCAGCCGCGGUAAUACGUAGGGGGCAAGCGGUAUCCGGAAUUACUGGGUGUAAAGGGAGCGUAGACGGUAAUGCAAGUCUGGAGUGAAAGGCGGGGGCCCAACCCCCGGACUGCUCUGGAAAGUGUGUAACGGGAGUGCAGGAGAGGCAGGCGGAAUUCCUAGUGUAGCGGUGCAAUGCGUAGAUAUUAGGAGGAACACCAGUGGCGAAGGCGGCCUGCUGGACUGUAACUGACGUUGAGGCUCGAAAGCGUGGGGAGCAAACAGGAUUAGAUACCCUGGUAGUC